GACGAACGCUGGCGGCGUGCUUAACACAUGCAAGUCGAACGAGUGGCGAACGGGUGAGUAAUACGUGGGUAACCUGCCCUCUUUUUGGGAUAAGCCUUGGUAACGGGUUCUAAUACCGACUACGGGUGUUGGGCUCGCGGCUUAUCGGCUUGUUGGUGGGGUGAUGGCCUACCAAGGCGGUGCCGGGUAGCCGGCCUGAGAGGGUGACCGGCAACGGAGGGACGGAGAUGCGGCCCAGGCUAGGAAGCGGGGGGGAAGUGGGGGAUAUUGCACAAUGGGCGAAAGCGUGAUGCAGCGACGCCGCGGGGGGGAUGAAGGUGUUCAGGUUGUAAACCUGUGGCGCAAUCGAACCGGUAGGUGGAGAAGAAGCGCCGGCUAACUACGUGCCAGCAGCCGCGGUAAUAC
rnacentral:rRNA from 1 species